rnacentral:lncRNA from 1 species
GAAAAUUUCCAAAUUCUAGAACAUGACUCCAUUUUUGUUUGAAGGAUGAUCCAGAUUCUGGCUGGGCUAUCCAGAACCUUGCCCUAGGAACUUGAAAAUAAGAUGGAAAAAUGAGAGAUUCAGUUGAAAGACUGUACCAAUAAAAAUCUAAGCUAUUGACAAUAAUUUUUUUCUGCUGUGUGCUGAGACAAGUGAAAGAAACCAGGUUGUGAUGAGGAAAAGCAAUGAAUCAAAGUCAAAGACAGAAGCAGAGAUUUAAAGAUGGAGGAAAAAAAAAGAGUCCUAGGUAUCCCAUAGUCCUCCAGUAUUUGGUUGUCUGGAAAGUCUUGCAAACUUACUUAUUAGUAUCCAUUCUCCAUUUCUCAUACUGAUGUUAUUUUAGGCCCACCCAUCCCUGGAGGGGGUCACAGAUUAGGCUAAGACAAUAUGUGUAUGGCAAUCCUUGGCAACUAUUGACCCAAUGAUGGGCACAUUUCCUAAAUUGGCCCAAUUUGAUUGAAGGUUUAUAUUCCUUGCCUAGAGGAGAAAUCACUCUUUCUUCUGCUAGACAUGAACAAGGAAGCACAUAUCCCUGAUAGCCAUGAUCAGCUUUCCUGCCACCGGGAGAGUGUAUUUUGGGAAGAGGACAACAACUGAAAAUCACAGCAAGAAUUCUGAAAACCCUUGGGAAAUAGUGGGGAACAAUGUUGACCAAAUUAUAUUGUUUGUUGUGUGCAUAUGUGAAUAUGUUAUGACGAAUCCCACCAUUAUGUAUAAUUACAAUGCACCAAUAAAAAUAUGAAAAAAAAUUCUAAAAAGCCUGGUUCUUUAAUGGCAUUUUUCAGUUCACCUUGACACUGAGUCAAACUAUGAGAUAAUACAUGACCUAUUAGAGAAGUCAGGGUCACUAAAACUUUUUCUUAAAGUGCACUGAUGGUGACUAUUUUAAGACUUCAGGCUCUACCCAACUAGUCAAAUCGGGUACUAUAGCUCUAAAGCGCCCUAGACAAUAUGUAUAUGAAUGCAUGUGAAUGUGUUCCAGUAAGACAGGUGGCCAACCUACAGGCUGUCAUUUGCCAAUCCCUGUGAUAAGCCAGUUUGAAUCAGAAUUUUCUGUUACUUGUUGCCAAAACUAAUGAUGUACAGGCUCUUGUCCAUUUGGGGGGCAUAGCUGCAUCUUGCCCUUGGAGUCUAUGAGGAACUCUAGUGUCCAGGGCUGAUGGCUGAAAUGCUUAAUAAAGGGUGCAGCAUAAACCCCCAACCAACCAAAAACAUGUAGGAUAACCAUGUGGAGGUGAGUUGGCUGAAUAUCACUCUGCUGUUAUCCCUCCAAGGAGUACUCUUUGUCACUUAAACUUUCGAAGGUUAUUUCUGUUAUUGGUAAACAAAACCAUCCUCGCCAUUCUUUUUAGAUUUUCUUUGAGGGGCACUCUUAAU